rnacentral:rRNA from 1 species
UACGUAGGGUGCAAGCGUUGUCCGGAUUUAUUGGGCGUAAAGAGCUCGUAGGCGGUCUGUCGCGUCGGAUGUGAAAACCCAGGGCUCAACCCUGGGCCUGCAUUCGAUACGGGCAUGACUGGAGUUCGGCAGGGGAGACUGGAAUUCCUGGUGUAGCGGUGAAAUGCGCAGAUAUCAGGAGGAACACCGGUGGCGAAGGCGGGUCUCUGGGCCGAUACUGACGCUGAGGAGCGAAAGCGUGGGGAGCGAACAGG